GGCUCUUCCAGUUCUAGGAUAAGCUGUAUUUUUUCUUCCUUUCUGAUGUCUCCAAUGAGACAUUAAGAUGUCAUUUCAGGUCCUAAACUAUAAUUCAGGAAUUUCUUCUGAUUGGUUAGACUAGUUUCCAUUUUUGUUUCAAGAUGGAACUGAGCAAUUCUUUCCUUCCUGGUUCAUGACUCAGGAUAUACCAAAUGCACGUUGCUGUGCAGGUCUUUCUUCAUGGUGACGCAAACAAGGUAGACAUCCACUGCUGGCUGGCUGGUGUAGUGACCCGAAAUGGGAGGUUGCCCUCAUGGUGAUGCUUCCUGUUCCUUUGCUUGGGUUAUGUUAGAAUCUGUUCCUUUGAAAUCCAGUUGUGUGAACUGACCUUGAUGAGCUGCCCUCACUCCACACUGAAUCAGAAAAAAACACCAAGAAAGUUGUAAUGUGACCAUAUCAGAUGAAGGUGUUCCAGUUUGCUUUAAUCCUGACUCCAGUAACCUGGAAACUGUCUACACAGCUAUAUGCAAAAACUUGGAGGGAUCGUCCAUUGAGCCAAAUUUCAUCAUCUGCCAGGUGGGCACUGAAAAGAUGUGGGGCCUUUAUUGUGGCAUGAUGUUAAUCUCCUCUGGAAGUUCAGCCUUCGGCAGCUGUGUGGGGACUUGUGCCACAUCUGACAGUACUGUCUGCUAGGGCAAACCAUGCUACAUGUGCAGCAGCUUUCUGGCCUUCCCCCUUGGUUGAAAGCUAGGAGCCACCUUCGUGUUUUACAGCAUGGCU